UCCAUCUCCUUUCUCUCUCUAACCGAGAGCCUCUCUCUCUAGCCUCCACCGGAAAUCGCCGCCACCGCCGGACGCCGCACCGCCGUCGCCGUCGCCGGAACCCCUCUCCUCACCAAAAUUUCCAGAUUUUCUCCUCUUCCUUCCCUCUUUCCAUUUCUCCAACCAAAAUCAUGAAAUUUAGCCAUUUAAUCCCCCAAAAACCCUAGAACCCGAAGCUAAAUUUGGGGCUUUUGUGAUUUCUUCUUUCCAAGCUCAAAUCAAGGUAUUUUCCAUCCUAAUCUAGCCUAUAUUCCUUCGAUCUAUACAUCUUUCUUCCUAAAUCCGAGUUUUUGAUUUGGGUUUGUGAUUUUGUUUGCAUGAACCCGAUUUCUCCUUGAACCAUGAAGCUAGGCUAUGGGUUUGGCAAGAAUUUUUAGUGAAGAAGGCCAAGGAGAAGGAGUAUGACAUGAUUUUUGAAGAAGAAAGGGAAACACGAUCGUUAAGAAAGUUUAAGCGGGAAGCAGCAGAGUGUGGAAUACGCCGGCAUAUUCCAGGUUAUAACGAGGUCAUUCCGGACGAUUUGGAUUAGAAGUGGGUCGUUGGCCAAGUUCGUGUGUUGCUGUUCCUGUUGCUUGAAGUUCUUCCCUUGUGGUAUUCCAUCGUUUUACUCGUUUUUCAUUCCAUGUUGAACUCUGUGAGGUCCGCCUACCUGGGAGCGCUCCUCACCCCUUUGUUUAUUUGAUGUUGUUGAACUUUCCUUUCAUUUCGGUUAUGAUGUAAGCCCUAAGGCGCCACAAUGCACUUGCCGCCUUAUUUUGUUGCUUUUCCAGACUUGUUGAUUUAAAUGUUGGGUUGUUGAUUUUAAAGUCCUUUCUUAAAAGUUUUAGUUUUUUUUUUUUUUUUUUUUUUUUUUGGUCUCCUAUUUUCUAAAAUUUGUAUUUUCAAAAGGCCUUGUAGUAUUAAGUUGGUAGAUCUACGGUACGUCUACGACGUAUCGAGCUCUUAUUGGCUUAAUAUUACGGCGCUGUGGUAUACUCUUUCGGGUCGCCACAAUCUAUGCGGUAAUUAUGGUUAUGAUUCUAUUUAUUUAUUUCUUUUCUUGACUUUCUGAUUAUGUUUCAUUGUUAUCUGUCAAAAUGAACUUUUCGUUUCUUCCAUCUCUUCCCGUUCUUCUCUCUCUGCUCACAGAAAUCUUCGUACGCCAUCCUUCCUAUUCUUCUAUCGAACAAGCGGGAAAAUUAGGCGGGAUGUGCAGAGAGAGUAGGCGGGAUUUUGAGAGAAAAGAUAGGAGUCCUAAUUAGGACUCUUCCUAACCCAAAAGAGAUGGACGACAAUAUAAAAGGGAAUCGGCUCUGUUCAUCACAACAUCAACUUCGACUCUUUCUCUGCAAUCUUUAUUUUGAAGGAUUACGAGUGUUCUUCGUUCAAUUUUCCGGUGUUCAAUUUUCCAGAUUGAAGGUGUUUAGGACCAAACACAUCCACGAAAACAAUGUCCUCUCAAUCUCUGCAACUUGGAUGAGGAAAAAUGAUAAGGAAGCCUGCUAAUGCAACAACAAGAGCAUCCAAAUCAGGUUCUCAGCUACCAUCACAACCAGCACUGAGAGCAACUUCUUAUGCAGCACCCACAACAACUGAACUGCCAUUUGAAGAGCCACAAGCUGAUCAACAUCCUACAGCUCACAACUCAGAGAAUUCCUCUACCCUGCUGAAUUGAAAAAAACACGUGGCAAAACAACUGGGAAAGGUAUGAUUGAGAUGAUUGCUAGCAAUGGCAACAAGAAGGUGGAGAUAAUAUUUGACCAGGAGCAUUGGGUCCCAAAUACUGAGUAUAGCAAUAAGAAGUUCACUACCGCUAUAGGGAUUGAGGUUCGAAGGCGAGCUCCGGUAUGUUACCGCGGAUGGAAUAAGAUUUCAGGAGAUAUUAAGAGGACACUACGAGAGGGAUUGAUGGUACACUUUGACGUGGAAAUAGAACAUCCAAAAAUUAUCUAUUUUGUGGAUGAUAAGAUGCGCUCGGCGUAUACUCAAUUCAAGUGGAAAUUGCACGAUCACUACCAAAAAUGUGGCACAUCUAUUCGGGGACGAGCCACACUUCCUCCACCUGAUCUAUGGGGUGAGAGAUCGACAGAGGAGUGGCAUUGACUAUGUGAUGAACUCUACACCGAUCCAAAAUAUAUUGAUAAAUGCAAGAAGAAUUCAACUAGCCGAAAGAGACAAAGGAGUACGCAUCGUGGCGGAGUUAUGCCUUUCAUUCAACAUGCUUUGAGGACAGUCAAGGAGGGCAAUCCUUUGUCUUUCAUAGACAAUUGGGCAGCUAUGUAUCAAGAUUCAAAUAGCAAUUGGGUUAGUGAUUCUGCACGUGAUAAAUAUGAUCGACUGAAAAAUAAGAGAGAAGAGCAUAAGGAGAAACUAACCCUAGAGGCACCAGAGGGUACUCCACCAGAAUCUGUACAAGUUACUGCGCGUGAUGAGAUUCCAAUCAUGGCUGAAGAGUGUGGAAGGAAGGGAAAAAGAGUUCGUGGUUUAGGCUCGUUUCCUCGCAUGGAGCUUCCAACUGUUACAUCUUCAACAGUUGUGAGUUCUGAGAUGAACGUAAUGCAAGAUAAAGUUAAGAAGCUUGAAUCAACUGUGGACACUAUGCGGUCACAAAAUGCACAGCUAAUGACAAUGUUGAAGAAGUUCCUGAUGAAUAGCCAAGGCUGUUUUGCUGAUACAGAAAACAUUGACAUGAAUAUCGUAGUACCCAACAGUGAAGAAGAUGAUGUCUUUGGAAGAGAUGAAGACGGUGUCCAAAACAAUGGAGAUAAUUCUGAAACAGAAGAUUUGGAGGAAGAUUUGUGAUUCAUAAAGUCAUUUUUAGUAAUUUUUGGAUUAGGAUUUAGCUAGUCUAGCUUGGCAAACAAUUUUUCUUUUUAUUAGCUAUUAUUAUUUUGUGGGUAGAAUUUUGUAAACUCUAUUUGAUUUAUGAUUUAAUAAAUCUUUUGAUUAA